rnacentral:lncRNA from 1 species
AUAAGGCUUCGUAUUCAUAUAGUGGAUGGUAUUAAUUUUACAGAAUAAACAGUCAGAAGCUUUUCAGUGAAUAUUGUACAUGGGAAAACAUUCUUUGUUUCUAUAUCUGGUAUAUUAGGAUUUUUCCUUUCUGAGUCUUUUUCCAAUUAAAAACUAUCCAUCAGGUUUUUGGAAGCUGCAAACAGAAUGAACGUAGAUCCAGCCCAUUGCCUAGUGAUAGAAGAUUCCUUGUAAGUCGCCAUUAUUAUAAGUCUUUGUUUGUUUGAUUUAUUUGUUUUUUUGUCAAAGUUAUCAGCAUAAUUUAUUAUAGCAAUUCGUUGUUAAUCAUCUAAAUCAUAUAAUUUAUCUUUCUUUGACUGCAAACAACCAUGCCUAUAUAUUUUGAGGUAACUAGAGGUAGUUUGAACCAACAAAAAGGAUGCAAGUGAACUGACCCUGGCACAGUGUCAUACAAAAGUAAACACAGAAUUCUUCCAGCAAUAUUAGGCUCAUGCUAUUUAGUGAACCUCUUUGUAAACUGAUUGAUGGAGAACUUCUUUACACAAUUGUCUUUUCAUGUUUACAGUCUCAUUGACCUUAAAUUUAGUCACACUACAAGAGACGUUGAAAUUUCAAAAUUUUCCUAAUCAUGCUUUAUUUUCUUUUCCUGUCACAAGAGUAAUUGAUUUAGAAGCGUUGUUUAGUUGAUAAGAAGAAUGCUUUUGAAUUAGUUAACCUGCUAUGCUAUCAUCUACGAUCAAGUUUAGUACAAGACCACAUUAGCUUUUCAUUCCUCAAAGAGAAACAUUAUGAAUGUUAUUGAGUUAUGAGUAAACUUUUAUUGUAUUUGAAGUGUAGCCCAGUCUAUAUUAGCAAUCAGCUGAAACUCUGAGUUCCCACUUCUUUUUGUGUGUGUGUGUGUGUGUGUGAGCGCCCACACUCAAAUCUUAUCUGAAAAACAUAUAUUUAUUUACAAAGUUAUUUUCAUCGACAUGAUUGCAUGUUUUAACCUUGGUCCCUGCUAUAUAUUCUGAGAUUCUUCUUGCUUCUGCACCUGUUAAUGUGCACAUUUCCUUGCGCAAGAGUUGAAUGGCAAUCUUCCACGUUUGCUAAUGCUGGGGUUUGGAGCAGGGAGAAAAAAUAUUGUUUUUAUUUUAAACCAUGAUUUAUUGCACUUCUCGUUUCCAACAGCAUUGGUGUCAAAGCAGGAAAGGCUGCUGGAAUGAAGGUUGUGGCUGUGCCAUCACUCCAAGUAGAAGCUCACUUAUAUUCUAUUGCUGAUUCCAUACUUCAUUCGCUUCUAGAGUUUCACCCACAACUAUGGGGUCUUCCACAAUUUGGAGACUGUAUGUUUACUUUGCAAUUUAUCCAAUAUCAUGCUAAUGGUCUUCAUCUCAUUUAAUAUGAAUCGUUGCUCUUAAAUUGAUUAUGCAGGGGUUGAUAAUACUUUGCCAAUUGAACCCAUUCAUAUAACAGGUUUAUUUAGCAACGGGCUUCUCCUGGAAUAUGAAGGUUUCUAGAAUUAUUUUCCUUCUGUCUGUUCUGUUUUGAGUUCUUAUAAGCAUUUGUUUCUUUAAACAUCAUGUCAUGUGUACUAAUACCUACACAUUAUUUUUAUUUGUUGCUGUUGGAAUAUGUUUUACUUGUGCAACAAAUAUCUGAUCUGAUUAAAAGAGUGUAAAUCUAGAUGGUGGAUGGUCUGCUCUUCCUGAUCAAGUUUGGGGACUCUACAUUGGAUGGGCGAAAUUUGACGAACAGAAGGUGUCCAAGGCUAUAAUCAGCCUAGGAUGGAACUUGAAAUGUUGUGAUUCCAGGAGAAAAAUUGUGAGUAUAUCAUUACUAGAACCUAUUUUGUCGAAUAUUUUAGGCUAAUAAGAAUGAUUUGCAUAUUCUUUAUUUAUAAAUUUUAAACAAAAAAUUUCCUUUAUUGUAAUUUUUAAGGCAAGAUUAUUUCAAAAAUUUGAAGAAUCUCCACAAGUAGUACAUACAUGUAUAUUUUGGUAGCCAGUAUAUAAUUUAGUUCCACUUUUUCUUGCAUUUCAAUUUGCUCAAAUAACAUAUACUUUAGAAUCGGCAUUUCCUUCUGGAUGCCCUUUUCUGAUGUUUGCCUGCAUUUGCGAACUUAGACUCCGAUUGCUGGUGAUGUACCAACAUGUUUACCUGAUUAAAAUGUUCUUGUCGGCUUCAAAAAAGAACAUCUCAGUAAAUUUUCAUUAUCUUAUUUAUUUUAUUUUUUUCCAAUCCCAAUGUAACUUUAACUGCUUUAUGCCUCUAGAAAAGGGGUUUCUACUCGUUCAAUGCUGCCUGACAUUCGUUACUGCUAUUUCUUUUAGUUCAAUUUCUUGUCUUAUGACUGACCGCUCCUUUUCAGCAAGCAUGUCCUGUUGAGUUUAGCUAUGAGAGCAUAAAUGACAGUAAGAUGCAGCUACUGCUUGUGGGCUACCUUCGAAGAUCAUGUCAUGUGGUAAAAAAUUAUUUACUCAACACACUGACUUAAUCAAUGAUACUCGUGGUUGCACUGUUAUAACGGGAACAUUAGUUUUCACUCAUCAAAUCAGAUGAGUCAUUUGAAAAUGAUCUCAUAAGUAGAAAGAUUGACACGCAUUGUGUUUAGGUUUAUUCAUCAUAUAAUUUGCUCUCUCUUGAUUUCCUCAUCCUGUCCACCCGUACAAGCACACUGUGCACACACAUCAGACUUGAAUAAAUUAUCUUGUGUUAACCAUGUUGUCAUAAAAAAUGAAAAAAUGAAAAGAAAAGAAGAAGGAAAAAAGGGGAAAAAAAAAAAAAAGGUUAAGAGCUACCGGCUUAUGUAUGUUAUAAUGCCAUUUUAUCUUUGAUGCUAUAUUUUCUUCUUUCUAAAUGCUGUUUGUCACCGACGAAAACUAUAUCUACUUAUUAUACUAGCUUAAAUUCUUACUUGAUUGGCUUUUUUGUGGAAGGAAAUUUGCUAUUUUCUUUUUUUGAUUUAAACUUCCACUCAGCACUAUGUAAUUUCUAUGGACAAUAUACAGGGAAAUAUGCUGGAGAACAUAGAAAUACUCGAAGAAGACAUAUUGGCUGCCCGCACCUCCUUGAAUUUGCCGGCGUUUUCCUACAAUACGUCAAAUGCUUUCUUGCAAGGAGAUGCUGUUAAAGAUAAUUUUGCUGCCUUGAAUGACAAUCACUAAGUAUGUUAUCAUCUGAAUUCUACAGAUGCUCUGAUAGCCAUCUUUUGUAACACAAACUGGAAUUUGUUCCUCGUGGCUAUGUACUUUCUCAUAGUAUAAGAUUGUUUGAAGAUGUAACCUGCUUUGCAAACACAGAAUGUCUUGAAAGGUGAACAUGUAACAAGUUGGUCCUAACUGUUUUUUCUUUUCGUGUGAGUCAAUAAUCCAAGUUUAUAAUGAAUUGAAUUUUAAUGGACGA